rnacentral:rRNA from 1 species
GUUGACCUCGGAUCAGGUAGGGAUACCCGCUGAACUUAAGCAUAUCAAUAAGCGGAGGAAAAGAAACCAACAGGGAUUGCCCCAGUAACGGCGAGUGAAGCGGCAACAGC